rnacentral:rRNA from 1 species
UACGGGGGGAGCAAGCGUUGUUCGGAUUUACUGGGCGUAAAGGGCGCGUAGGCGGUCAGCACAAGUCAGUUGUGAAAUCUCCGGGCUUAACUCGGAAAGGUCAACUGAUACUGUGCGACUAGAGUGCAGAAGGGGCAACUGGAAUUCUCGGUGUAGCGGUGAAAUGCGUAGAUAUCGAGAGGAACACCUGCGGCGAAGGCGGGUUGCUGGGCUGACACUGACGCUGAUGCGCGAAAGCCAGGGGAGCGAACGGGG